rnacentral:lncRNA from 1 species
CCAAGUCCAAGUGUGAGGAAGGGAGACUCUAUGUGAGUGAUUUGCCUAUGUAAUCGAUUACGGACAUGGUCUAAGCGAUUACAUUCGCAUUUGUACCAAAAGUCCAACGCUGCUCCCUGCCCCUGCUAAAGGGGGCUCCCUAGUCUGCUGUUCAUCAUAACUUGGUUACUUUCAAGGUUAAGAGUGUGGGAUUAGGGGUCUGUUAGAGUGUUUGAUCCAAGUGAAGUGUCAGGAAGGGGGACAUUGUGACUGAUUGGCCUAUGUAAUCGAUUACGGUCAUGCUGUAAGCGAUUACAUUGGCAUGUGUACCAAAAGUCCAACGCUGCUCCCAUCCCCUGCUUGAGAGGGCUCCCUAGUGUGUUGUUGUUGGUCAUGACUUGGUCAAUUUGUAUGUUGAGAGUCUGGGAUGACAUGUCCCUGCCUGAAGAGCAACAGGUGUUCUAUGGUAAGUAAGAGUUGUUGAUCAAAUUCCACGUGUCAGAAAGAUGGAUUCUGUGAGACUGUGUAAUCGAUUACACAUAUGCAGUAAGCGAUUACAAUGGCAUGUGUACCAAAAGUCCAACGUUGUUCCCUGCCCCUACUGGAGGGGGCUCCCCAGUGUGCUGUUGGUCAUGACUUGGUUAUUUUCCAGAUCUAGAUUGAGUGUUUGCCUGUGUAAUCGAUUAUGGUCAUCCUGUAAGCGAUUACAUUGGCAUGUGUACCAAAAGUCCAACGCUGCUCCCUGCCCCUGCUUGAGAGGGUUCCCUAGUGUCUUGUUGCUGAUCAUGACUUCGUCAAUUUGUAUUUUGAGAGUGUGGGAUGACAUGUCCCUGCC